GAUGAACGCUAGCGGCAGGCUUAAUACAUGCAAGUCGAACGGGAUUCAGAUUAGCAAUAAUUUGAUGAGAGUGGCGCACGGGUGCGUAACACGUAUGCAACCUACCUUUAACUGGUGAUUAGCCCCGGGAAAUCGGGAUUAAUACACCAUAACAUUACUAAAAGGCAUCUUUUGGCAAUUAAAGAACUUCGGUGAGAGAUGGGCAUGCGGGACAUUAGCUAGUUGGUGAGGUAACGGCUCACCAAGGCGACGAUGUCUAGGGGUCCUGAGAGGGUUAUCCCCCACACUGGUACUGAGACACGGACCAGACUCCUACGGGAGGCAGCAGUAAGGAAUAUUGGUCAAUGGGCGCAAGCCUGAACCAGCCAUGCCGCGUGCAGGAAGACGGCCCUAUGGGUUGUAAACUGCUUUUGUCAGGGAAUAAAUGUAGGUACGUGUACUUACUUGAAGGUACCUGAAGAAUAAGCAUCGGCUAACUCCGUGCCAGCAGCCGCCGUAACAC
rnacentral:rRNA from 1 species